AACGACAGCCAGUAGGAUAAAGCACAAGUCUUCUUGAACUCUUCUUCGCCGAGAAUCUUGAUAGAGAGGAAGGCCAUGGAGGUUCGCAAGUGGGGGCGAGAGAUCAACUCUUUCUCUUUCUUCGCUCAAACUCCCUGGGAGCAGUUCGGCUUUGACCUCCAACGAACCGUCAAAGGAGGAGAGCAUGAGAAAGAAGAGAAAAGAGGAGUGCUAGGAGGGAGGAAAGAAGUAGGGAAGAAAGGUGAAGAAGAUGGUGAUGAUGGCUUUUUCUUCACCCAAACAGCUGAGGAAUUUCUUGGACAGGAUCUCCUUCGUAUUAUCAAUGGAGAAACCCAGGGAAGAGAAGCCAAGAAGAAAGAAGCGAAAGAAGGACAGGAUGAAGGCAAUCUGGAGGAGCUUCGCAACUAGAUGUUGGGACGGGAGUCUAUGAAACAGGACAGGCUGCAUUCCUCUUGAAUGAUGGAGUUCCUAGUUUGCUUCCGUUUUAUGUUCUUGUGAUCCUUAAGUUGGUUCUCUCUCUCUUGAGGGUUUAUGAGAGUUGGGUCUUGUAGGCUGUAUAUGAUAUGCCAAUCUUGACACAGUCAUCCGAAAUAGGCAGUUCAACCAAUGGACGGUGUAUUCAGUUGAUUGGAUCUUUUUGUUCAAAGCUUUAGAGCUCUUCCAUGUAUGUAUGUUAAAUAAACACCGUAUGAGGGGUCAAUGGGUUUGGUUUUUUUUGAUUUAUUCUUGCUAUUCAAGUAUGUGUUCCUUUUCAUCGAUGAGUUAAAGCGGAUGCUGAUGGGUGGAUCCGUAAUAAUAUUGGUUCAGGAUGUAGAAUAAUAAAAAUAACGUACGAUAUUGUCGCAUGCAUGCACAUAUAUAGAUAGAUAACAGGGGAUCGAACACUAGUGAUACUACAUAUGACUUUGUAUUAGAAACAUGAACGAUUGACAUUCUUCCAACUAGUUUUCAUACAUGCAUGCACUUGAAAUUAUCAAUCGCACUGAUCAAGGUCAAAAUACAGCCGAUAGUCGGACCAAGAAGAUCAUAUCCAAUAUUCUUUUCAUCUGAAAGUAGGUCCCGA
rnacentral:lncRNA from 1 species